UGAGCCUUCAGAAGAUGAUACCGAGACCAAGUGUAUAUUUGACCAAUCAAAUGGAAGUGAAGGUAAUCAAUGUCCCUAUGACCUGAAGACUAUAUUCGGAUUCUGGAGAUAUUGGAAUGAGCUGUGCGUAGUCGUCUACCCAAAAUUACAGAAUGUGACGUUUGCCAAAUGUGAAAGAAGGGUUGGUUGCUGCGGAAGUGGAACGAAGUGUGCCCCUGCCGGGUUUGUCAGGAGGCCCUACCUGAUAUACUGUGACAGGUAUUACCCCUAUUGGCACUCUUUAGUUGAGGACCGGACACCGGAUGUUAUCAGAUCAGAUAUUUUCCUCCACUAUGAUGUUGACGAAGACGACAUACCAAGUUAUGAGCUCGAUCACGCGAACACGGAUUUAGGGCUGUUCUUCCUCAGGCAUGACUUGUUACCUCAGGGUUGUAACUGUUUGAUACGAGCGUGCAAGAAAUUCACAUACGGAUUGAAAUAAACCGAUUUAUUCUCAGCAAUGUACUCCCCGCUGUCUGCUUUUGGUGUCAGGGGUUUGCUUAUUUAGGAUCUUAACAUUUUCUUCAAAAUCACCAGUCUAU